rnacentral:rRNA from 1 species
ACGCGAAGAACCUUACCCACCUUUGACAUGUAAGGAAGUUUCCAGAGAUGGAUUCGUGCUCGAAAGAGAACCGUCACACAGGUGCUGCAUGGCUGUCGUCAGCUCGUGUCGUGAGAUGUUGGGUUAAGUCCCGCAACGAGCGCAACCCUUGCCAUUAGUUGCUACGAAAGGGCACUCUAAUGGGACUGCCGGUGACAAACCGGAGGAAGGUGGGGAUGACGUCAAGUCCUCAUGGCCCUUAUAGGUGGGGCUACACACGUCAUACAAUGGCCGGUACAAAGGGCAGCCAACCCGCGAGGGGGAGCCAAUCCCAUAAAGCCGGUCGUAGUCCGGAUCGCAGUCUGCAACUCGACUGCGUGAAGUCGGAAUCG